rnacentral:rRNA from 1 species
UACGUAGGGGGCAAGCGUUGUCCGGAUUCAUUGGGCGUAAAGAGCUCGUAGGCGGCUUGGCAAGUCGGGUGUGAAACCUCCAGGCUCAACCUGGAGACGCCACCCGAUACUGCCAUGGCUAGAGUCCGGUAGGGGACCACGGAAUUCCUGGUGUAGCGGUGAAAUGCGCAGAUAUCAGGAGGAACACCGGUGGCGAAGGCGGUGGUCUGGGCCGGAACUGACGCUGAGGAGCGAAAGUGUGGGGAGCGAACAGG